rnacentral:tRNA from 3 species
GCGGAUGUGGCGGAACUGGCAGACGCGCUAGACUUAGGAUCUAGUUCGAGAGAGUGGGGGUUCAAGUCCCUUCAUCCGCA